AAGGUUAUAGUUCAGGGAUCAUUUCUGUAAUUCAUUACAAAAGGAGUUUCUCUGACUGUAGAACAUCAAGACAAUGAGGACGAGAGGUAGCGUUCCCUCCAGAGUGUGAAGCCGGCUCUAGGUGUUGCUCUCCUGUGGCUGCCUCUUGGUCGUUCUUCUCUUCUUGUGGGAGAGUGGGAGGGAAGGCAGUUUGAGUGGA
ensembl:snoRNA U3 Small nucleolar RNA U3